rnacentral:rRNA from 1 species
UACGAAGGGGGCUAGCGUUGCUCGGAAUUACUGGGCGUAAAGCGCACGUAGGCGGCUUUCUAAGUCGGGGGUGAAAUCCUGGAGCUCAACUCCAGAACUGCCUUCGAUACUGGAGAGCUCGAGUCCGGGAGAGGUGAGUGGAACUGCGAGUGUAGAGGUGAAAUUCGUAGAUAUUCGCAAGAACACCAGUGGCGAAGGCGGCUCACUGGCCCGAUACUGACGCUGAGGCGCGAAAGCUCGGGGAGCGAACGGG